UACGGGGGGAGCAAGCGUUGUUCGGAUUUACUGGGCGUAAAGGGCGCGUAGGCGGCCAGCACAAGUCAGUUGUGAAAUCUCCGGGCUUAACUCGGAAAGGUCAACUGAUACUGUGCGGCUAGAGUGCAGAAGGGGCAACUGGAAUUCUCGGUGUAGCAGUGAAAUGCGUAGAUAUCGAGAGGAACACCAGUGGCGAAGGCGAGUCCCUGGACAACUACUGACACUGAGGCAACGAAAGCUAGGGGAGCAAACAGG
rnacentral:rRNA from 1 species